CCCGAGCCCAGAGUCACAUCCUGACACAGCUCUCAUCCUGGGGUGCUCGAGUCUUCAGAGAGAAUCUGCUGGCCUUGAUUCCCCUGUGGGGGUAUUCAGUGCCCCCAGCAGUGCCCAACCAGAAACGUGC